UGGGUAAUAUUGCACAAUGGGCGAAAGCCUGAUGCAGCGACGCCGCGUGAGGGAUGACGGCCUUUGGGUUGUAAACCUCUUUCAGUAGGGACGAAGCGCAAGUGACGGUACCUGCAGAAGAAGCACCGGCUAACUACGUGCCAGCAGCCGCGGUAAUACGUAGGGUGCGAGCGUUGUCCGGAAUUACUGGGCGUAAAGAGCUCGUAGGCGGUUUGUCACGUCGUCUGUGAAAUCCUAGGGCUUAACCCUGGACGUGCAGGCGAUACGGGCUGACUUGAGUACUACAGGGGAGACUGGAAUUUCUGGUGUAGCGGUGGAAUGCACAGAUAUCAGGAAGAACACCGAUGGCGAAGGCAGGUCUCUGGGUAGUAACUGACGCUGAGGAGCGAAAGCAUGGGUAGCGAACAGG
rnacentral:rRNA from 1 species